CUAGAGCCUGUUUAUGGGACAGUAGCAGAGCAGCUAGGACAAACCAAUCCCUGCAAACAGGGCUUCUCAAGGAGACCCCGGUACCUGGCCAUAUCCUGAAUCCUGGACCCUGAGAACUCCUGACCUGAGUAUGUGUACACUGAGGAAAAAGAGCGCCUCUCCCCUCUCCUUCCUAGCAGAGUAGCAUGUCAUUGUCUGAGCUCCAGAGGAACUCAGAGGCUCCACACAGCAACAGGAGGACAUUCUGUGGAGGAAGACGACAUGGUUUCUCUUCCACCAUCCAACUACAGACAACCACCCCAAAUUACCAACAAGAUCUGGGGAAUCUACAAAAGCAUCCCCUUGUGGAAGCCUCCCAGUGGGUACUUACUGUUGAAUCCUGCCCAACUUAGACGCCUUUGCAUUUUGACGGUUCAGAAAGUCACCUAUACGUCUCUGUCUUCACA